AGAGUUUGAUCAUGGCUCAGAACGAACGCUGGCGGCGUGGAUAAGACAUGCAAGUCGAACGCUGAUUAGAGGUUAGCAAUAAUCUGUAGUCGGAGUGGCGCAAGGGUGCGUAACACGUGGGUAAUCUGCCGUGAAGCCUGGGAUAACUCGCUGAAAGGCGAGCUAAUACCGGAUGUGACUGUUGGGAGGCAUUUUCUGACAUUCAAAGCUGGGGACUGUAACAGGCCUGGCCCUUCACGAUGAGCCCGCGGCCUAUCAGCUAGUUGGUGAGGUAACGGCUCACCAAGGCUAAGACGGGUAGCUGGUCUGAGAGGACGACCAGCCACACUGGAACUGAGACACGGUCCAGACACCUACGGGUGGCAGCAGUCGAGAAUUUUUCACAAUGGGCGCAAGCCUGAUGGAGCGACGCCGCGUGGGGGAUGAAGGGUUUCGAUCCGUAAACCCCUGUCAUUUGCGAACAAACCUUACCGAUGAAUAGUCGGUGAGCUGAUUGUAGCGAAAGAGGAAGGGACGGCUAACUCUGUGCCAGCAGCCGCGGUAAUACAGAGGUCCCAAGCGUUGUUCGGAUUCACUGGGCGUAAAGGGUGCGUAGGUGGCCAGGUAAGUUUGAUGUGAAAGCUCGGAGCUUAACUCCGAAAUGGCAUUGAAUACUCUCUGGCUAGAGGUUUGGAGGGGAGACUGGAAUUCUCGGUGUAGCAGUGAAAUGCGUAGAUAUCGAGAGGAACACCAGUGGCGAAGGCGAGUCUCUGGACAACACCUGACACUGAGGCACGAAAGCUAGGGGAGCAAACAGGAUUAGAUACCCUAGUAGUCC
rnacentral:rRNA from 1 species